rnacentral:rRNA from 1 species
AAUAUUCGACAAUGGCCGCAAGGAUGAUCCAACCAUCCAGCGUGCAGGAAGACGGCCCUACGGGUUGUAAACUGCUUUUAUCAGGGAAGAAACCUCUGGAUUUACCCCGGAGCUGACGGUACCUGAAGAAUAAGCACCGGCUAAAUCCGUGCCAGCAGCCGCGGUAAUACGGAGGGUGCAAGCGUUAUCCGGAAUUACUGGGUUUAAAGGGUGCGUAGGCGGCUUUUCAGUCAGGAGUGAAAGCCCCGGCUCAACCGUAAAAUUGCUUUUGAAACUCAUCGCUAGAAGUAGGACGAGGUCAGCGGAAUUGGCAUGUAGCGGGGGAAAUCAUAGAUAUGCCAUAAACACCAAUGGCGAAGGCAAUCUUUCUAGACCUACAUUGACGUGAGGCACGAAAAGCGUGGGGAGCGAAACAGGAUUGAUACCUGGUAGUCCACGCCCUA